UACAGAGGUGGCAAGCGUUGUUCGGAAUUACUGGGCGUAAAGGGCGCGUAGGCGGCGUGUCAAGUCAGGCGUGAAAGCCCCGGGCUCAACCUGGGAACCGCGCUUGAGACUGGCAUGCUCGAGUUCGGGAGAGGAUGGUGGAAUUCCCAGUGUAGAGGUGAAAUUCGUAGAUAUUGGGAAGAACACCGAUGGCGAAGGCAGCCAUCUGGACCGACACUGACGCUGAGGCGCGAAAGCGUGGGGAGCAAACAGGG
rnacentral:rRNA from 1 species